AUGUCGACGGCGGCUGCAUCUCGGCCCAGCGGCUCCAUCCUUUUGACUCCCUUUCCCAACUACCAAUCCGCCCCGCUCUCUCGCGUCAAGCUCCCCGCCGCCGGCGCCGGCCGCUCGCCAAGCAAGUCCGUCAGCGCCUCGUCUCCCCGCUCCUCCCCCGCGGGCGGCACCGCCACCCCGAAGACCCGUCGGACAUGCAUGUGCUCUCCGACGAACCACCCGGGCUCGUUCCGCUGCAGCCUCCACAAGGAACGCAAGCAGAAGGUCCCGGCCGCAGGCAGCUGCAGGAAGCCAUCCUCCCCGCCUUCGCCGCCGUCGAAGCGCACGGCCAGCCCGUUCGCGCAGCUCGGCCCCAUCGGCAGCGGCUGCGCCAAGGGCACGGGCCGCACGCUCCCACAGCUCGCUCCCAUGGGGAGUGGGCACUGGGCGCGCAGGGCGCUCGCGCCGUCCCCCACGGCGCAGCAGGUGCAGUACAGAAAGCGCGCGAGCCGGUUCCACCCCGGGCCCAGCAGUCUCUCCGCAGCCUCCAUGGCCGGCCACCGCGCAGGCGGCAGCAUCCAGUAA
rnacentral:rRNA from 1 species